GGUGUUCCAUCUUUGCAGGACAUCCUUUGUGUGGCCCAGCCGUGAGACACUGCCUCACUGGGGAAGGUGCUUCUGCUUUAGGGAAAACAGACCAUCGAUGGCCAGCAAAUGAUGUUUCCUUUGGACACACUAGACUACUGUUUGAACACUGUCCUGUAGAAGGCACAGACUGAGAUGCUGUGUCAACUGCGCAUGCCUGUCUUUGUGACUGGCUGCAUUAUCGAUCCUUCCGAGCCUGUGUGCCACGCUGGAAAGCUGGAUCUAAGAGUUAAGAUUUACUGGCUUAAAA
rnacentral:lncRNA from 1 species